UUCACGGCGCUACAUUGACGCUUUGGCGGGUAACGCGCUGACUGACGGUCUGCUCCGGCAUUGUUGAAUGAGAGACACUUUUUUUAACCAAAGGGUCUUUUUUCUGCACAUGACACGAGCGUGAGGCGUUCAGGUACUCAGUUUGAAUCAAGAUGUUUAACUUCCACAAGCCGAAGAUGUACCGGAGCAUCGACGGCUGUUGCAUCUGCCGAGCCAAGUCUUCCAGCUCCCGCUUCACAGACAGCAAACGCUACGAGAUGAACUUCAAGAGCUGCUUUGGGUUGGUUGAGGUGCGUUGCGGUGACAUCUGUAACGCCUGCGUCCUCCUGGUGAAGAGAUGGAAGAAGCUUCCUGCAGGAUCCAAGAAGAACUGGAAUCACGUGGUCGAUGCAAAAGCCGGGUCGAGCAUGAAGGCCACGCUGAGGACGAAGAAGAUCAAGAAGAAGCUGAGGCCCAAACAGAUCAGUCGAGUUCAGAGCGAGCUGAAGAGGAACAACUCGGAUGCUCACAGCACUACCUCCAGCGCUUCCCCUGCUCAGUCACCUAGCUACAGCAACCAAUCGGACGAAGGCUCUGAUACGGAGCUAUCUUCUGGCCCCGCCCCCUCACAGGCUUUCUCCUUCCUGGAUCUCACCUACUGGAAAAGGCAGAAGGUGUGCUGCGGCAUCGUCUACAAGGGCCGCUAUGGAGAGAUCAUCAUCGACCCUCACCUGUUCAAACCCUGCUGUCAGAGGAAGCCUGACCUGCAGCAGCAGAAGGAAGAGGAUGAGGAGGAGGAGGAGGAGGAAGGUGGGGAGAUGGAGCAAGAGGAGGAAGUAGAGGAGGUAGAAGAAGAGGAGGUGGGAGUGCAGGAAAAUGGACAGAAUGCAGAGAGCAUGUCACCGCCUUCUUUACCUUCACAUGAAGAAGAAGAAGAGGAGGUGGUGAAAGAGGAGCUGAGUGAGGAGGCACGAUGAUGGCAGCUCAGGGUCGGUAAAGUCUUCCCCAGUGGACAGAAAGUACAACAACACGCAACAACACACAAAACACGUCCAGUCUGCUGCUGCAGGAAAUGUAGUUAUCCAAAUGAUCUAAGCUUUUCAACAUGAAGAUGGACGAAAGAAGAAGUCUAAACGUCACUUAUCUUCACAUUUUUCAACAUUUAUUUGGCCUAGAGAUGAAUUCAGUAAUUUUGGGAAUAGUCUUCAGGCCCCUGGUGUUCAAAAGUUUAAUCUAGACAAGGUUAGAUAAUCCACUCUAUAUUUGCACUGCUUUUUAAAGUAAAGACGGUCAGCUCUGACUGACUUAGGGAUGCUUUAGAACGACUCAUAUUCUAGUUGUUUACACAGAAAUUUAAAUUCUGAUUAACUAAUGAGUCUAAAGGUAAGAAAAAACAUGGACAACAUUUAUCCAACGCCAUUUAUCCAUCCAGCUAAACUCAGGAUUGGCUACCACUAGCAGAUCUUGCACCGCCAGCAUGUUAGUGUCCUCGUGCCUGUGCUGGUUCCUCAUUGUUCUGGUGGAGUGGUUAUAUGUCAGUUUAACCAGACACAGCCUACAUACAACUUUAUCUCCAUUUACUAGAUCAACAUACUGACAAACCACGCUGUGCUACCAGAUGACAUCAUCACCUGUGCUCCUUUACAUCCAGGUAGUAGAGCUGCAGAGCGCUAUGGCAACUAGAGCUUCAGUGCCGAUUUGCAAUUUAGGGGGCGCCAAAAUCCACACAGACGACAGAUCCUCACAGCUGCUUUAAAUUAAAUAUUCAAUGAAAUAUUGAUGCUAUUCCUUUAUUUUUCACAACCUUAACAUCUACCUCAUCUACUUCAUGACUGAAGCACUCAAGCAGAAGGACUAAAAUAGUUUUUUUCUGAAGUAUCAUCGUCAAAGUUUUCUCACACCUUGUUUCUGAUUCGAUUCAAUCCAGUAGCUUUGAUUUGGUCGGAUUACUUUUGAACUCCGGGGCCUGGAUUAGUUGGGGAAGAACACAGUGCAGCAUCACUCCUGUAUCAGACUACAUUAGUUUUUUGUUUAGGUAGUAAAACACAGCAUCCCUCCUGCUGGGUCGCAGAUUAGCGCUGUCAGCAACAGAGUUAGCCCCAGCGUGUUUCAGAGGUCGUCUCAGCGUCCGGUUCAAACGUGGCUCAGCAGCCUCGUCUCUCACAGCCUCCUUGACCUCUGACCCCGUUUUAUUUCAAAGUUCACCCGAUGCAGCUAUAAACUUUGAGUACAUUAACUCUUGUGACGUUAUGCAGAGACAACUCGUGUCUCUGAUCAGGAAUCCCGAACCUGUCGGACUGUCUUUUUCUCUGAUGCUGCUCACACUGGUUUCUCGGACCGGUUCUGUCUUUCGGUGUCUUGGUUUGCGAUGAGAUUCUGUAUUUUUGUAAAUACUUUAUUUACCUGAAAUGCUGGACUAUUCAAUGCUGCAUGGAAACCUUGAGACCUCUGGAUUUAACCCUUUACUCUUAGGAUAGAGCCAUACGACGGACAGAUCUGCCUCCCUCCUCCUGACCCAAAAAGCUCGUCCUUAAAUGUUUCUCCACUUUAAUGCUUCUGCUUUAUUUUCUUGUUAAGGACAUACAUUGUUAAAUAGAUUGGCACGGCGGUCACAUUUUCAGCUUCUUCUAACCAGACAAGAAGCUUUUCAUCACAUUUGGACAGAUGAGUCCACAUUUGUUCAGAAAACGGUUUAAAUCCAACGUUUUCCAUCUUGUGUACGAGAUAACAAGCUAACGAAAUUUAGCCGACUAAACUGUAAGAUUCAACAGCCUUCAACUUUUGUCUUCCAUGUUUCAGAGUUCAACUCUGAAUCCUUCGGUAGCAUAACUUAAGCACUGCCUGGUCCCCUCAUUGUGCAACAGGAAAUACAGCGUGUUAGAUUUACAGUAAGAUAUGGGAACAAGAGCACAGGGAUGUCACGAUACCAGAAUUUCAAACUUUGAGUAAAAAUCUGAUAUUAUAGAUACCUGUGCUUCUUCAGACGACGUAUUUAAACAGAUCUUAUGAUCCGUUACACUGCUUUGUUUUCAUUAGCAGCGCUCUCUCUCUUUACUUUACUCAACCACCGCUCUAGUAGCAGCUUUAGGCUGAACAUAUGUUCGUGGAGUCGUCUCUUUCGUAAGUGGUACUUUUCAACACUAUUUGAUAAUGUUCGAAAGCACAGGGUAUUGAAAAGCAUGGAUGUUUGUUUAAGAUACCCAGUGUAUUUAAAAUAUAAGCUAUUUACAGCACAUAGUACUCACUAGUUUGAAUUGAGUGUCUAAUUAUGUCAUUUAAACGAUGAAGCCACUUAUUUCAAAGUUGCUGAAUUGGUCAUUUAAAUUCUGACAUAAGUGUAAAGGUAAGGAAACACUCAGAGCCAGGCAAAGUUGAGCACGAUUUAUGUAGGAUCACACAGUCUGCAGGUAAAAGAUGUUAGUUUGAUCUGCAGAGUGUGGCUACCACUAGCAGAGCAAGCACCACCAUGCCUGUGCUGGUUCCUCAUUGUUCUGGUGAAGUGGUUAUGUGUCAGUUUAACCAGACACAGCCUACAUACAACUUUAUAUCCAUUUACUAGAUCAACAUACUGACAAACCACACCCACUACCAGAUGACAUCAUCACCUGUGCUCCUUUACAUCCAGGUAGAAGAGCUGCAGAGUGUUAUGGGUCCAGGUGGUUAGGUAGAACACUUCAUUGUCAUUUUAGGCUGAGUACGAGUAUCAUUUCCUAAAUCACCAGCAGUACAUAUAUAUAUAAGUCGUGUGCAGAGAGAUGAGUUCAAGAGUCUCAAAGUUCCUCUGUUGCUCAUGCUGCUAAUGUUUCUGUUUAUCUAUAUAGAAUCAAAGAUCAUUAAAUAACAUCAUUUUACUCGAAAAGGAUGAUACAAGGUGUAAAAAAAAAAAGCACAAACAGAGGAAGGCAGGCACUGUCCACAUGCAGUUGAUAUUUAGAAACUUAGAAAUGAACCGUUAUAAGCUAAAAGAGAUCCUCAGGAAGGUCGUGGUAACAGCACGGAUUAAAACUCUGUUGCUGCUUCUCUCCAGCAGCUCUUUGUUUCCUGUAGAACGGGGCUUUGGAGCUUUUAAUAAAACAAGCCCUGAUUUUCUACGGAGCCUAUAGAGCUGUGAGGAUUUUAACCCUCAUUAUAAAUAUGUGUACAUAUUUUGUAGUUUGAAGCUUGUAGACGAAUGUUUGAACUCCUGCAGCUUUUCGCAGAACUCACUGGACUCCUAGCGUAGAGUAUUUUGCAUGAGCUUCCCACACCUGACGCUUUUGGGGCUGCGUUGCCUUGUUGAUGUGAUGUUGUACAGCUUUAAUAUAUAUUUUUGUAAAUAAAUUAAUAAACGUUAAGGAGCAGCCGUCCAUUGAGACCUGAUGUCCUCUGAUUAAACCCUGUCACGACAUUUACGUUGAUUCUUACAGAGUACAUGGUCGAUCUUCUUCAGGACGCACCACAAACAUUCAACUCUUUGUUUUUGUUUUUGUCUGAAAAUGUGUGUCUGUUUAUUUAGAAUCAAAGACAGUGUCACAACUUUUUCAAACUCUGCAGUAUUUCUUUCCAAAAAUCGCGAAUGCCGAUGUGUGACUGUCAGAUAACUCAUUGUUAACUUUAAUGCAUGACGCUCUUCUUCUCUUUGGGUUUAUUCUUUGGAGAACAGUUACGUAUUUAGGUUGAUCAACUUUGAAGCUGUGUCUCUGAUGUUGUUUCAUUUUUCCUUUUUGAUAUAACAGUUGUUGCAUAUAAAGGGUGAAUUGGUCCACAUGUGUAUUUAUUAACUUAAACAUCUUAUUUUGUUUUCACUUUCCUGAAUUAUCGACUGUUUGUAGACAUAAACACUUUUCAGGAUGUCUGUACUACGCUGCCAAUAGACUGAACACAAUUAAAAUGAUUGUAUUAAAGCGUUGAAGAGGGGGUGUCAUGCUCAUCUUCAGUCUUUAUAUCGUCCUUCUGAUCGCUCUGUUGCAGCUUCACAUGAUUUACAGCUCAAACACUCUUUACUGUUGUCUUUGAAACACAUCAAUCCAACUACUGUCUCUUUAAGAGGCAUCAAAGCACUACGGAACCCAUGCAUUCUAGAACCAAUGCUUUCUAGAACCCAGCAUUCCAGAACUCAGUAUUCUACAACCCAGCAUUCUAGAAGCUGAUAUUCUAGAACUCAGCAUUCUAGAACCCAGCAUUCUAGAAGCCGAUAUUCUAGAACUCAGCAUUGUAGAACCCCUGCAUUCUAGAAGCCGGUAUUCUAGAAGCCGAUAUUCUAGAACUCAGCAUUCUAGAACCCCUGCAUUAUAUAACCCAGCAAUCUAGAAGCCGGCAUUCUAGAACUCGGCAUUCUAGAACCCAGCAAUCUAGAAGCCGACAUUCUAGAAGCCAAUAUUCUAGGACUUGGUAUUCUAGAACCCAAGAAUUCUAGAACCCAGCAAUCUAGAAGCUGAUAUUCUAGAACUCAGCAUUCUAGAACCCCUGCAUUCUAGAACCCAGCAUUCCAGUAGCCGGCUCCUGUUGCCAUGCCUCAAAGUUCUGUUUCUGUUAAAAACGACACAUUGACGCCCCUUAAGGAGAUUCACUUAAUGUCACAAGCUAGCGUUGGUCUCACUGAAAUCUCACGCAACAUUUCGAACACACAUUUACCUCACAAUCUCAAACUUUGCCCACUUUUAUCACUCACAUCCAACAUGUAACUCCAUAUUUGUUUUCAAAAUCUGAAGAAAAGCAUGACACCACCUCUUUAUACGUUGUAUUUAAAGGCUGUAGCUUAGAGGGAUUUUGUAUUUGUGUAUUUCUUUGGUAGACGUUCAUCUUUGUAUUGCGUUCCAUUGGCAUGAGAUGUAAUCUAGAGCUUCCCGUCUGUCUCUGAAGGGUUAUUUUGCAGGAAGAGAUGCAGUACUGUUUAUUUCUUAAAGCAAAGUUUGUAUUUUUAUACACGCUUGUAAUUUCUACAUGUCCAAUAAAUGUUGUUUGUCACGUUUAA